AUUGAACGCUGGCGGCGUGCUUAACACAUGCAAGUCGAUCGGUAACAGGUGUAGCAAUACAUGCUGACGAGAGGCGGACGGGUGAGUAAUGCUUGGGAAUCUGCCUAUUAGUGGGGGACAACCCGGGGAAACUCGGGCUAAUACCGCAUACGCUCUACGGAGGAAAGCCGGGGACCGCAAGGCCUGGCGCUAAUAGAUGAGCCCAAGUCGGAUUAGCUAGUUGGUAGGGUAACGGCCUACCAAGGCGACAAUCCGUAGCUGGUCUGAGAGGACGACCAGCCACACCGGAACUGAGACACGGUCCGGACUCCUACGGGAGGCAGCAGUGGGGAAUAUUGGACAAUGGGGGCAACCCUGAUCCAGCGACGCCGCGUGGGUGAAGAAGGCCUGCGGGUUGUAAAGCCCUUUCGGGUGGGGAAGAAAAGUCUCGACCUAAUACGUCGGGACCUUGACGUAACCCACUAAAGAAGCACCGGCUAACUCUGUGCCAGCAGCCG
rnacentral:rRNA from 1 species